rfam:Parcubacteria (Yanofskybacteria) bacterium GW2011_GWD2_39_48 TT53_C0001, whole genome shotgun sequence.
GCCGGGAUGGCGAAAUUGGCAGACGCGCGGGACUUAAAAUCCCGUGGUCCCAAAGACCAUGCGGGUUCGAUUCCCGCUCCCGGCA